GGCAAGUGCGAGAGACAUCCGAGUAGUCUUAGUGCAAAACCACGCAGACGUUGCAUUGAAAGUUGUUGCAUGAAAGGCAAGAUCGAGGAAAAGACAACGAAACCAGCAGCUAGGCCUUUUGAUUUUGAAAAACGACAUUUUUGUGGGAACUACACAGUACAAUACAUGUAUUAACAGCUGUAGUUGAUAAUGAAACUACCACAGAAUGUGAUGUCAACAUUAUAGAGAAUUAUGAAGAUAAUCACAAUCAUGUACAGGUUUACAUCAGAUUUCCCAGGAUGUGCUGUGUAACUGUCUAAAUGAUGAAGAAAAUGAACAUGAUGAAGAAAUUGUAAAU